UACGUAGGGGGCUAGCGUUGUUCGGAAUUACUGGGCGUAAAGCGCACGUAGGCGGACCAGAAAGUUGGAGGUGAAAUCCCAGGGCUCAACCUUGGAACUGCCUUCAAAACUCCUGGUCUUGAGUUCGAGAGAGGUGAGUGGAAUUCCGAGUGUAGAGGUGAAAUUCGUAGAUAUUCGGAGGAACACCAGUGGCGAAGGCGGCUCACUGGCUCGAUACUGACGCUGAGGUGCGAAAGCGUGGGGAGCAAACAGG
rnacentral:rRNA from 1 species